AGUGAACGCUGGCGGUAGGCCUAACACAUGCAAGUCGAACGGCAGCACAGUAAGAGCUUGCUCUUACGGGUGGCGAGUGGCGGACGGGUGAGGAAUACAUCGGAAUCUACUUUUUCGUGGGGGAUAACGUAGGGAAACUUACGCUAAUACCGCAUACGACCUACGGGUGAAAGCAGUGGAUCUUCGGACCUUGCGCGACUGAAUGAGCCGAUGCCGGAUUAGCUAGUUGGCGGGGUAAAGGCCCACCAAGGCGACGAUCCGUAGCUGCACGGAGAGGAUGGUCGGGCACCCGGGAACUUAGACACGGUCCAGAGCACGACGGGAGGCACCAGGAGGGAAGCGUCAGCAAUGGGCGAAAGCCUGACGGAGCACAGCGGGGGGAGUGAUGAAGGGCCUUGGAUCCGAAAACCCUGUUAGUAGGGAAAAACAAAAGGGUAAGUAACUGUGCACGGCUUGAAGGUAACUAAUAAGAAAGCCACGGCUAACUACGUG
rnacentral:rRNA from 1 species